rnacentral:rRNA from 1 species
CUGCUGCCUUCCGUAGGAGUCUGGUCCGUGUCUCAGUACCAGUGUGGGGGGCCUUCCUCUCAGAACCCCUACGCAUCGUCGCCUCGGUGGGCCGUUAUCCCGCCGACUAGCUAAUGCGCCGCAUGCCCAUCCGUGGCCGGGAUUGCUCCCUUUGGCGGCCUUGGGAUGUCCCUAGGCCGCGUUACGCGGUAUUAGACGGGGUUUCCCCCGCUUAUCCCCCUGCCACGGGCAGGUUGCAUACGUGUUACUCACCCGUGCGCCGGUCGCCGG